rnacentral:rRNA from 1 species
ACUCCUACGGGAGGCAGCAGUGGGGAAUAUUGCACAAUGGGCGCAAGCCUGAUGCAGCCAUGCCGCGUGUAUGAAGAAGGCCUUCGGGUUGUAAAGUACUUUCAGCAGUGAGGAAGGGUAGUAGUAGUUAAUAGCUGCUAUUAUUUGACGUUAGCUGCAGAAGAAGCACCGGCUAACUUCGUGCCAGCAGCCGCGGUAAUACGGAGGGUGCGAGCGUUAAUCGGAAUUACUGGGCGUAAAGCGCAUGUAGGUGGUUUGUUAAGUUAGAUGUGAAAGCCCGGGGCUC